rnacentral:rRNA from 1 species
UACAGAGGGGGCAAGCGUUAUUCGGAAUUAUUGGGCGUAAAGGGCGCGUAGGCGGCCUGGCAAGUGGAUGGUGAAAUCCCUCGGCUUAACCGAGGAACUGCCAUCCAGACUGCUUGGCUUGAGACCGGGAGAGGUGAGUGGAAUUCCCAGUGUAGCGGUGAAAUGCGUAGAUAUUGGGAGGAACACCAGUGGCGAAGGCGGCUUCCUGGACCGACACUGACGCUGAGGCGCGAAAGCCAGGGGAGCAAACGGG